UGAAUGCAUUAUAAUUUUUUCCAUUUAAGUUAAUGAUAAUUUAUUCCCUGAUUUAUGAGAAUUCAAUUUAUGAACAUUUUUUCCAAAAAUCUUGUAAAUCAAGUUGACCUGUAUAUGCAAGUUUUGCAUUACAUAUUGAUGUGGGAAUUGCAGCCAAUAUUUGAUCACAAAGUAAUAGUCUUGAGCAGUUUAGAAAAGCAUAAGGUCUUUGGUACAAGACAUCCAGAGCACAAUAAACAAAAGAAUGGAAGAGAUGAUAAAAGAUAUUUAAAAUGGAUAUAUUAUACUAGAAAUAUUAUAUUGAAAAGAAAAUAGUGCCAAAAUAUCAACCAUUAUAUCUAUUUUGGAGAGAUGUUUUCUAAAUCCCUACAUAACAGAAGGAAGAAUGAUGAGCUUUUUUGGAAGUGGAAAACUUGAUCUAGGUUUU
rnacentral:lncRNA from 1 species